CCCAGAAUACGACAUGAAAAACAAACAGAAGGAUACAAAUACAAUUAUACUAAUUCGAGGACAAUCUUGAAUUUGUAUACGAUUGUAACGCCAUCAUGUCCAUGGCAACACUGUGUCAGUUUCUGGACUGCUGCAUUUGGUGAACCAGGAUGACCAAAUCAGGCAGCAGCACUUCCCCAGAGCCAUCACACUUGAUCGGUGUGUGAAGGAAUCACACCGGGCGACCGUUUCCCUCUCAUCUCCUUUCUUGCCUGCGACAGAAGCGACGCAAAACCUCAGCUCACAUUUUCACUGACAAAAGAGGUGACAGUGAAGAGAAAGUGAAAAGGCUAUAAUAAAUGCUACGGGAGAGGUACAAGAAAGAGAGCGCAGCGUCUGAAAACGGUAACCUUUUUCAGAUGCUGAUUUGGUAUUCAUUAUUAAUGACCUUUCCCUACCUGAGCUAAGCUGUUGCCAGGAAGCCCCCCUUUUGUGUUUGAGCCUGCCAGAAGCUGGGGGACAGGCGCUCCAGCCUUGUUCAGACUUGUUGCCUGAUGGAUUUCUUCACUCGGUAUUCUAAUUCUUCUGGUUAUUGUUGUGGAGUCAAACAUCUGCGAGGACUUGUCGUUUUUCUCUCUAACGCUCGCCUCCUGUAUGGGUGACCGCAUGGCUCAUGACAUCGGACACAAAGGAACUGCAGUCUAAUUAGGAAUUUGUGGACUGCAGCUGAGCACGAGUGAGAGGCGGGGUACACACUGGAAAGAUCACCAGUCAAUCACAUGGCUGACACAUUCAUGCCGGCAACGUAGAGUCUCUAUCAAACCAGCAUGCAAACAUGCAUGUUUUCUUUUUUUUAAGAAGAAGAAGAUGGGAUAUUUACAAAAUGAACAUUUCAAAUACAGUGGUAGUUUUAAGACAGUAUUCAACCAAAUGUGCAUGUAUUGGACUGUAGGAGGAGGCCAAAUAACUUAUAUAUGUAGUCAUGACUAAAGAUACUAGCAUGCCAAAGAUGACAAUGCUGUUAGCCUGCAGACAUGCUACUACAUGUUACUACAUGUUACUAUGGUAC